ACUUAGGCACGUGGGUAUAAAAACCCAUCUUCCUCGGCAGCUCAACUCCUCCUCCUCGGAUCUAUCGUGAGAGGAGCUAUCAAUUGCAAAGUGGUAUCCUGCACGUACGGCUUUGUGCAGAUGGUUAGGAGUUUUGUUGUCUAGAGCAUGAACCAGACAAGGAGUUGGCAUUGGAAAUUUAACAUAGGUAUUGGAGGCAGAACAAGAAGAUUAAGGGACAUUUCUAGCUGUACCAUUCCAUUACAUUGAGAUAUCCAAACUUCUUUUUUGACCAGUUCAAAUUCUCAUACCCUUUCUGGUGCGGGCCACCCACUUUUUCAGCAUGUCAUUCAUUUGCUAUGAUGUCUGCAGUACUUGUGUCUAUGGUUGAGUUAACAUGGGCAUUUAAAGCAACAUCUCGAUUGGCAACUGCCACUCCACCUCCCGCUUCUGUAUUGACCCAUGGUUUGCUGGGCAGAGAAAGUUGAGAAAGUUUGAAGACCUUGAAGCUAGGGAACGCAAAGAGAUGCUAGAAAAUUCAUCAAAGCCAAAUGAAGACUUUCCAAUUGCUAUAAGUAAGGCAGGUAUAUGGAGUUGUGGGAUAGUGGGGGCACUAAUGGAUCAACUCGAGACAUUGCAAAAGAAAGGAGCAUUCAGGUCAUUUUAAACCUUGGCUAUUAUUUGUAUUCCAUUUGGGUUUUAAUUCAUGUUUUUCCACUUGAGAUUUGUAUUUGACACCCGUAUACGUAUAGAUUUGAUUUACUGUAUAAUAUAGGUGCUCUUUGAAAUAAUGAUAACACCUUUUUAUGUA